GACAGAGGUGCCAAGCGUUAGGCGGAAUCACUGGGCUUAAAGCGUGUGUAGGCGGAUCGUUAAGUACCUUGUGAAAUCCCACGGCUCAACCGUGGAACUGCUGGGUAUACUGGCGAUCUUGAGCCACCUAGGGGCGAGCGGAACAAGCGGUGGAGCGGUGAAAUGCGUAGAUAUCGCUUGGAACGCCAACGGUGAAAACAGCUCGCUGGGGGUGUGCUGACGCUGAGACACGAAAGCCAGGGGAGCGAACAGG
rnacentral:rRNA from 1 species